AUGGGGAGUAACACCAUGUGAAGACAGAGGUGGAGAUUGGAGGGGUGCAUGUACCAACCAAAGGAAUAUCAAGGGCUGGCAGCAGCACUAGAGCAAGCGAAAGGCAUGAAACAGAUUCUCCCCUAGAGCUGUAAGAGGCAGUGUGGCCCUGGCAACACCUUGCUUUAGGACUUCUAACCUCUAGAAUAAUGAGAUAAUGAGAGUAUAUUUCUGUUGGUUUCGGCCAUGCGGUUUGUGGUAACUGGUUCCAGCAGCCCUAGGAAUCUAAUACACUGCCCAUGGAACAAAUCCUUUCUUGACCACCAAUGGCUGCAUGACUUAUCCUGAGAAGAUCAUGGGGAUUUUGGAUGCCAGGUCAACCCUUACACUCAGCAAGGAAGUGGAAGGGCCUCAGUUUCAAACACUUUGUAAACACAGAGAUAAGGUCGUCCCUCUGUCACCCAGCCUGGAGUGUAGUGGUGCCGCCAGGCCUCACUGCAACCUCCAACUCCUGGGCUCAAGUGAUCCUCCAACCACAGCCUCCUGACUAGCUGGGAUUACAGGUUAUUUUGAGGAUCAAGUGAAACUUAGAAACAAUAACAACAAAAAAAGCAAAGUCUGUGAUCAAGAAGAAUUACUCUGUUGCAACAAUAUAAACUAAGAAAAAAAUACGCAAAAUUCUCUGCUGCCUUGGGAGAUGAUCUCAUGAUGUGUAUCAUUUACUUUUAAUAUUUUUAUUUAUUUAUUUUUGAGACGGAGUCUCGCUCUGUCGCCCAGGCUGGAGUGCAGUGGCGUGAUCUCGGCUCACUGCAACCUUCGCCUCCCGGGCUCAAGUGAUUCUCCUGCUUCAGCCUCCUGAGUAGCUGGGAUUAUAGGCAUGUGCCGCCAUGCCUGCCU
rnacentral:lncRNA from 10 species